UUAUGUUGAAGGUCUUUCCCAAAGAGAGCCUGCGGAUCACCGUGGGGAAGUUUGCCUAAGAAAGCAACUAAAUGUGAUUUUUCAAAAGGCGCUUAAUCUCCCCACAGCUUCGUCCUUAUCCUUCCAUUCCCUCUGCCCCCCACCCCCACCCCGUUUCCUCCCCUCGUACUGUUAAUGGCCCACAGUAUUUUUAUUUUAUGCGUGACGGGAGAUAGCCUUGGUCCGUCUGCUCGGAGUCGGGGCAAGAGGAGCGAGGGAGGAGUGGAUUUGUUCGUUCUAGAAGAAAAUAUGUAAAAUAAGCCUUUGGAAGUCUAAAGAGCUAUGUUUGUUCAAAGCAUUUAAAAUGUUAUUCUAAUCAAAGGCACAAAGCACUUUGCAUGCCGUGUCAGCUGCAUCUGGCCAUUCCUCUUCUUUCAACCCAUCCCACCCUUCCUUUCUACCCCAGGGUCUCCUGGUCCUUCCUCACUUGGGUACCAACUUUUCUUCUUCUUCUUCUUCUUCUUUUUCCCCAUUUAACAGAAAGAAAAGAUUAAAGAAUAAAACAUCAGUGGCUCAAAUGUAUAAAGUAAUUUAAUAUGGUGAGAGCAUUAAUUAUUUUAGCUUAAUUGAAUUCCGAGGACCCCGCAGUCCUUGCAGCUUGGUAGACAAGGCCUGUUUAUUAUUUCUGUAGAUUAACAGUAAAGGAAACACAGAUAACUUUCAGUUAUUUAUUGUAAAAUAAAUGUGUCAAUUCAUGUGUAAAGCAAGCUGCUCAAAGAUAAUUGAGUCUUUAUAUUUUAAGAGGGGAGCUAGGAAUCACGGGCCCUUCUCCACUCAGGCACCCGGAAAUCCUUCCAGCUGCUGUCCAGGCCCCUGGCACACUGGUCUCCAUGGGUCCCCUGCUCCUGUCUCCCGCCUGUGGCUUCAGGGUCCCUUCCCUGCUGCUCUGUGCCCUGCUGCUGUCUCCACUGGCCUUGAUGGUCCCUGGCAGCCGCUGGUGAGCAGGUGGCUGCUGAUUCUUGGGACUUUGCUCCUAGCUGGCCAUCAUGGCUGAGUCCUUGGUGGGGUGGCUAUGCUACUGGAAUGUUCUGAGGUCUGCAGCCUUCACUUUGGUGGGGCAGCCUUUCCCCUCAGCCUGACACUUGUAGAAGCAGGGCCCCAGCGAUGGGUAGAGAUGUUGUUCUGUAGGUGAGAGUCCCCCUGUCCUUAACUGUGUCUCCAGGGUGGGAGUGGAGCUGGGGUUUGGCUAGUCAUCUAACCAAAGUGUGGUUGACCCAGUCCCUACCCUUUCCUUGGCAAGGUCUUUCUGGAGAUAGCUAUAGUUUGUGAUCUUUUUGCUGUUUUAAAUGACAGAGCAGUGGUUCUCGGCUUUCCUAAUGCUGCCACCUUUGAAUAUAGUUCCUCAUCUUGUGGUGACCCCAACCAUAAAAUUAUCUUUUGGUCCUACUUCAUAGCUGUAAUUAUCUGCGAAUAUGUAAAUAUCUUAGGCAAUCCCUGUGAGAAGGUUGCUUGGCCUCCAAGGGGGUUGCAACCCACAAGUUGAGAAGCUCUGUGGGAGGAUUAGAAAGGUACAGAAAAGAUUCCAUAAAGCUUGGGUCCUAGAGGACAUUCAUUCAUUCAUCCAUUCAUUCAUUCACUGAACACCUAUGCUGUUCCCCUUAGGAGGGUGUCCCUCAGGGAGUAUGUGAGGAAAUUCCAGCCCUAUCUUUCAUGUUGCUACUUGGCUUGGAAUCUUCUUGCUGCUCCCCUGCUAUGGAAGAGGAGGUCCCGGAUGCCUGGUUUCCAGGGCAGCCUAGGGAUGGGGGUGAUCAUAAGCAAAGUCUGUGGCUGGAGAUCUGACCCAAGGGAUGCCUGUGAUGACACCACUCAUGGAGGUGCUGUGUGUCCCUCAUGACUCCUUCUUGUGGCCUCUCCCUGCCUCUGUUAAGAACUCUGCUCAGGCACUAGGUCCGUGUACCUACGGUGACCUGGGUCAGGGAUGAGGAAAUACAACAUUGGUGGGGAGUGGGGGUGGGGAUUGUUUAUGGGAGCGAUGGAGAGAGGAAGGGGCUCACUUGUCUGGGGUCUGGAGCUGUGUAGGAAAGACAGGAUGGAAAGCUACCCCACUCCCUGGCUUUCAGAAUCAGCUUCCUUAUCUGUGCCUGCAGCUAAGGAUGAUUGCAGCCUGCGUGUGGGUACCUGCUGCAGGGGAGGGCACAGGCAUGAUACACGUGUGCAGUGCGCAUAUGUUGGCCCCUCCCCACCCCGGCCUGAGAUCAUCCACCCUGGCAAUCUGCUUCCCAGCUCCACACACUCUUUGGUUUUUAAAGGAAUGGCUUCCCGAGAGUUGUGGAAGCGUCAACUGGUUCCUGAGGCUCAGACACCAGAAACAAUGGCAGGGUUUAGACAGUCGGGUGAGGGUUCAUGUCCACCCGUCUAUCUGGUGCCAUGUUGUGACGUCAUUCAGUACCUCAUCCUGGGAAGGGGACAGGGACUGUGGUGUCCCCUGGGCUGAAUCCAGGCACCCCCAGACCCUCGGCUGGUCUGAGGGUGAGUCACUCCUUUCCUCAGUUUCCUCCUGCAUCCACUCUUUAGCAUCCUGCAGAGGACUGAAUGAAAUGAGCUCCAGGAUAUACCACACGGCGCAGGUCAAGCCAGAGACAGACUGCAGGCAGGGGAGAGUAUGCGCCCGGCUUAGCAGCGAUGGGGAUCCCACUCUCUCAGUCCUGGAGCUGAGUCUGCUCCUCUCUGUGGAUUCUACACUCUCCUCAGAAUUUCCUUAGAUGGCCUCCAAAGGAAAUUGGCUUUUUCUUGUUAUCACCUUGUCCACACCCCAAAGGAUAGCCAGCAGGGAGGGAGUCUGCUCUCUCUCUCAGCUGUCUUUUCCUUCCCCCUC
rnacentral:lncRNA from 1 species